CAAUAUAAUUUUUCCAGUCACACGAGAAAAGUAAUUGACAAUUGAGCGGAACAAAGGGUCUAAAAGGGAUACAAAAGAAGGGUAACAUUCAACGUAGAUAUCGUGAGCUUUAUAAGCUCCGCCCUAAGCAGUAUUCUGGGCGUAUCGUUCACCAAUUCAUAAAUCGAAUCGUGACAGAACGAGACAAACAUACCAGUGCAAUAAGCUUUAGAAAGAGACAAAAACUAAUGUGUAGGGGGCGGUGCCUCGUGGUAUUCUCUACCACAGCCGGUGUCGCCCCAGUCUCUCUCAUUCGCCUCUCGUUUAGCGUCCGCUAUGUAAACGGCCGUUGUUGUGAAUCUAAACAAAAUCAGUCAGUCAUCGUUUUGUUGCCGUUAAAGUAGCACGUCGAGAAUCUCGUGUUCAGUUUUUGAUGAUGUUGUUGAUGUGAACGAAAUUAACCGAAAAUGCACGCGUUGUUUGGUGAACAAAGUCCUUAUACCUACCGCGGAGGUGCUACCGGCGGAUAUUCCGCGGGUGUGACACCUUAUGCCUACGAACAAUACAGAUACGGUUAUGGUGCUCCAUAUCUUCAUCCGCACCAGCAACAUGUUGGCACCCCCAAAGAUAUGGUGAAACCACCAUAUUCAUAUAUAGCUCUGAUUGCAAUGGCGAUUCAAAACGCCCCCGACCGGCGAAUAACUCUAAACGGUAUUUAUCAGUUUAUUAUGGAGCGUUUUCCUUAUUACAGAGAAAAUAAGCAAGGCUGGCAAAAUUCAAUUCGACACAACCUGAGCUUGAAUGAAUGUUUCGUUAAGGUUGCCAGAGACGAUAAGAAGCCCGGAAAAGGCAGUUAUUGGACUCUCGAUCCCGAUUCAUAUAACAUGUUCGACAACGGAUCUUACUUGCGGCGGCGGCGCCGAUUUAAGAAAAAGGAUGCACUAAAGGAAAAAGAGGAAGCGAUAAAACGACAACAACAACUGCAACAAGCGCAAGAAGCGUUAGCAGCACAAGAAGCGCUCAGUGCGGCGGAUGCGCUUGGGCAACAGCGGGACGUCAAGCCUGAUGUUAAGCCGCGCAUCUUCGAGUGUAGACCUAAACGAGAGCCCGGUGCAGAUUGUGCACGGUACGAGAAACCUAAUGACGCUCUUGAUGAGUUUAGCGAACCACGACUGCCUUCUUCCGCGGUUUAUUGCUCACCACAACCGUAUUCAUUGGCUGCGGAGGAGUUCCGAGCGGCUACAUCAGGCUGGUAUGCAGCCCCCGAACCCCCCGUCGAACAGUUACCACCAGUAUUUAGAGAUCUCUUUGAACCACCGAGUUGUCAGCUAGCCGGUUUCCGUGGCGGUUCUCCAGUUCCUGACGCAUAUCGGGCGUCACCACCGCCACAUCAUCAUUACCGCACCUCCGCUCCAUCGUAUUACCACCAUCAAGCCUGCGUUGCAGCUGCACCCGCACCCGCUCACAAGUCCUACUGAGACAUCGUCCUCAGGAGGCCGGCAUCAUACGGCGCCGAACGGAUUUAGCCGCCCGCGUCAAUUCCACCGGAUAAAUAUAGCCGGAGAUGCCGCAGAGGCAAGCGGCGGCGUCGAUAAGCACUGUUUACAGAUCGGCGGCCGACCCUGCCGCCUCCCGCUCUGUUCACUUCUAUAGGUUAAACAUUGAUGGACGCGUGGGAGGAUGAAAAAGGAAGAACAUACGUAAUAGGUGAUGAAGUGAAAAAUUGACUUUUUUAUAUUCAUCGAAACGAACGAAGUUUUAUUUACUUCUCUGGAAGACUUACAUUAGUUUGUAUAUUUGUUUAACUUAGUUUAAUAGUUAAAUUAUUGUAUACCGAUAAAUUGUUUUAAAUUUAUGCGAGUAAGGGUAUUUUUAAAAUAAUUUAAUAUUGAGUAGUUCGUUAGGGAUCACUAAGAUAAAGUCAUAAGUUUAUGUCGUCUGUAAAAAAAGGCGACGCAAUCAACUCGAAUUGUUUAUUAUAAAAUGUAAUAUUCAUUAGAUUAGACUAGCUGUAGUUACACAUAGUUAUACACUAUCUAGUCUUUUUCUUUGAGUGUAUGUAACGAGUGAUAAUUUGUUCGUGUUCUUAAAACACAAAAUAUUUUCAAAAAUCAAAUGUUUCUCUUAAUAUUUCAUAAACUUAAGUCCCUGACAUGAGUUUAAGAUGUAAUACGCAAACUAUCAAACAAUCGAUUAAUAAUAAUAGUAUUUAUAUUAUAAUUCUAAAGAAGCGAUAAUUAAUAAAUAAAUAUUACUUACUCUAAAUUUAUCAUAUUCCAAACUCUGAAUGGUGAUAUUUUUAAGAAAAUCUACAUCAUUUUAAUCUAUGAUAUGCCUACGGGAAGUGACUAAACACAUAGGGAUGCACGAUUCUUAAUAGCCCGGCAACACACUCGCGAGACUUUUGGUAGUUUCACAGAUGAAGUGAAGUGAAGCUCCCGGUAUUAUAAAAAGAUAAAUGAAAUAGAAAUAAUUUUUUAUUGUCUCAGGAUUGGGUCUUUCUUGAAGUUGAUGUACAAUUUGAAAAAGGAUUGUCUGAUGUUUUUGCCUCGUGAGAAUUAUACCGGAAUUGAUUGGCCGUAUUUCAGAGUCGAUCUUUAAUAGUAAACGGAACUUAGCUUUGAUAUGAAAAAAUUAUAUUCAGAAAUUAAAAAUGUAAAUCAGUAAAGAGAAUAUAAAUUUCUUAAGCUUGUUCAAUUUAUUAAAUAUUAAUCUAGAGAUAACUGAACGACUCUCGGUACAGAUUUAAGACCAAAUUAUUCGUAGGAUUAGUUAUACUUUCAUUUGGCUUUCCCUCUUUAACUUCACAUUUCAAUAAUGUUAAAAAUACGCUUUGUAUUUUUAUGGAUAUAAUUCUAAGUUCAAACAGUUAUUAAUAAUCUACUGCAAGGCAAUUUUUCCGAGAUCAUAGAAAACUUGAUAUCAUUAAUAUAAUAAAUGUAUCUUUCAUAUAAGCCUAAUUUAGUGAACUCAUAAUAUUGUAUUGUAAGUAAAUUAAUAACUUUGUGAUAUAUUAUGUUAAACGUGUGUAUAUAUAUAUAUGUACCUACUUGCAUAUUAAAUGGUUAUUUGUAUUUAGAA